GACGAACGCUGGCGGCGUGCUUAACACAUGCAAGUCGAACGGUGAAGCGCCUUCCUUUUUGGUGGGUGUGGAUGAGUGGCGAACGGGUGAGUAACACGUGAGUAACCUGCCCCCUUCUUCUGGAUAACCGCAUGAAAGUGUGGCUAAUACGGGAUAUUCUGGGUCUGUCGCAUGAUGGGUCUGGGAAAGAUAUUGUUUCGGUGGGGGAUGGGCUCGCGGCCUAUCAGCUUGUUGGUGGGGUGAUGGCCUACCAAGGCGGUGACGGGUAGCCGGCCUGAGAGGGUGGACGGCCACAGUGGGACUGCGACACGGCCCAGACUCCGACGGGAGGCAGCAGUGGGGAGUAGUGCACAAUGGGCGCAAGCCUGAUGCAGCGACGCCGCGGGAGGGAUGGAGGCCCUCGGGUUGUGAACCUCUUUCGCCAGUGAAGCAGGCCUGCCUCGUAUGUGGGUGGGUUGACGGUAGCUGGAUAAGAAGCGCCGGCUAACUACGUG
rnacentral:rRNA from 1 species